AACAUUUUUGAGAUGUAUGGCCUUUUGAUUUCAUCAAGAAUUGUCAUUGUAUUUGGGAAGCCUGCCUUCAAGAAACUUAUAAUCUAAUAAUUGUGAUUAACAAUUCCAUAUGAAAUUUAACAACUUCCUGAUAUGUUACAUGCAGAUAGGUGUGGAAAUCAUGAGUGACCCAAGAGGUGGUGGUGUUUGGCAAAGUAAGACAGAGUGGAAAAUAGGUAAAACAACAAGGACCUACUGUAUAGAACAGGGACCCGUAAUCAGUCUCUUGUGAUAACCUAUAAUGGAAAAGAAUCUGAAAAAGAAGAUACAUAUGUAUAACUGAAUCACUAUGCUGUUCGCCAGAAACUAACACAACAUCACAACAUUGUAAAGCAGCUAUACUUCAAUUAAAAAAAAGGAAUGGAAGUGAUAUAUCCAAAUAGAAAAGACGACAAAAUAGGGCAUUCCUAUGCACCAGAAUAAGCCAUUUGUAUUUGUAACAGUGAAACUAAAAGAUGAGAGCCACCCAAGAUUGACACCACUGAAGGCAGAUGCAAAGAGGAAGGUAAAGUUCAGGAAAGUUCUUAGAAAUACAGGCCCCUCUUGGAACUUCUUCUCCAGAAACAUUCUUCUCAGCAGAGGGGGGAAGAUGAAUGUGCAGAGUUUCUGGCCUACAGCCGAGAGCUUCAUUCCUUGAAUUUACACUCCCUUUUCUCCCCUUUGGCUAAUCUUCAAAUGCUAUGAAAGAAUGGAGGGGUUGAGGUCUUUCUUAAAUAUGGCCUCUCAGAAGUUGAUUUUUGUAUUUGUUUUUCCUGUAGGACUUUGGUUAUGAUGGAAUGCUCCAAAAUUCUCUUUCCAAAUUCCCAGACCAUCUGCACUUUCUACCAGUUGUGAUUUAGGACACUUGAUUUUCUUGAGUGUGUGUCUGUUUAAAAGAAUGAAAAAAGUAUUAGUUAGCUGUUUUGAAGACAACCAAGAGGAGGUUUUUGUUUUCCCUUGAUUUACGAAGGUCUUCAGGUUUAGGGAAAGGAAGUAGGUAAGAGAAAGUGGGAUACUCUUAGAACCAGCUCUCAGCUGGCAUUGAAGAGAGCAAAAGAGAUUUUUAACAAUUUUUUUUCCCUCUUUCCUGAUGAACUCCGUGAUCGAGUCUUUCCUCCAACAAAUUUUCCUCACUAUAUUCAUUUUGCAAUGACCAAAAAAAGGAAAAAUAUCACCAAGGAAUCUCAGCCUUAACUUUUAAUUUCCUGGUUUUUGUCAGUUUAUGUCACAACAUUAAUUUUAUUUCCACAAAAGAGGGAGGGUGGCAGGUAAUUAAUAGUACUCUUCUGUACUCCUCCCAGAGGAAAAAUACCCUAUCAUUAACACCGAGUUGUUAAAGCACAGAACAAAAGACAAAUGAGUCUGAGAUGUAGAAAGAACUUUCCCCACGUGUCCUUAUACACAUGAGACCGGGUGGUAGCUCACUGGCAGUGUGUUACUGGACGCUGGACUUGGCUUAUCAUUAGGCACUCCUACUUGCUAAUUAGGUAACAUCCCAGCCAGUGCUGUGAAGCUAUGUAACCCUUUUAGAGACCCUGUCACACCUUGGUGGGUGGGGAAUUUCUUGCUUUCCAUUCCUCAUGUCCCCAUCCUUUAUGGACCAAACAUUGUACACCUGAAAAUUGAAUUUGAUGGAACUUGACGGAGCUCUUAGAGGGAUUUUCGUCCUCCCCUUUCUGAAUUCAGAGAGGCUGAGCAAAGCCACGUGUUGAUGUGUUGCUGCAGUCCAGGGUGCUCAAGCAUUUGUAAAAUGCCUUCAAAUGAAAGAGGAGUGUCCUGGUAUCCUGCUAAACCCUGUCUGUAAUCUACAGCCUUACAAGGGGACAAAGGAGCUCUGGCACAUCCUCCAAUACAGUUGCAAUGAAGAUAGGAUGAUGGGCUUCCAAGUAAAGAUAAAAUGAUUGUACGUACGGGCUUAUGCAAAAAGGCUUUGUUCCUAAAUACUGGAAAGGCAGUCACCCUGAAACAAUGGGGCAAAUUAGCAUGCAGCCAGCCUCAGGCUCUUAGCUGCAUGCGCGCACACACACACACACACACACUCUCUCUCUCUCACACUCUCUCACUCACUCACUCACAAGCUCACAGUGACGGAUGCUUGCUGCUUGCUGGGAGGUCAGCACGAAGAAUCUUUCUUGGGAAGGCAACAUGUCAGAUUUCAGACACUCUCCCUACAAAUGGCUUUCGUUGCUCAAAGGGGGAGCUUUCUGAUCCAGAUAAUAAAAUCCAUUUACAUGAAAAGAUGCCGCUUUCAAUGACAUGAUUAAUUUCGGAAAUACCUGGCAUAUGAAUGAAGCCGAGGCUUCAAGAAAUGACGGAUGAUGAGAAAAUAUAAUUAGGCAAAUGUCAAGAGUUUUGCUUGGUGAUGGAGGGGCUGGCCUGUCUGGGUUAUCAUAUACUCUUUCCAGAUGGAAAUGAAAGGCCUUUGUGGGAAGUUGGGGAUGAUCUACCCACAGUUACACAUCAACUCUCCUCAGCUCGUGUUUCUCCGGGUUUUACUCCAUCCUGACCAGUGGGCAGCCGGCGCUUACCUUCAAUGACUUCUCAGUGAAUCCUAGACAAAGCUGGCCUUGUUUUCCACGAGGCCUGAAAAAUGUAAAUUUAUCUUGCUGUCCAUGUCAUUUGUUCGAAAGUGACCUCUCUGUUCUGAGCCUUUUCAGAAAUCUCAUUGACUUCUCCUCCCCUCCAAAAAGAGGAAAACAAAACAGGGAAAAAGCCAAACACCAUUUAAUACUCUGCAGAAAGGACUUUGAAGACAAUGGCUGAAGUGGGAGGGCUGUUGAAGAUGUAACUAAGAAAGAUGAGGCCGUUGCUGGUGUAGAGUGGGCUCUUAAUCCAAUAUGGCCAGUGUCUUUAUAGGAGGGUGAUGUGAAGACACACAGGGGAAGCCACUCUAUGACUUCAGAGGGAGAGACUGGAGUUACAUUGCUGCAAGCCAAGGAAGGCCAAGGAUUGAAGGCCACCACCAGAAACGAGGAAGAGACAAAGAAAGAGUCUACCAUACAGAUUGCAGAGGGAGCAGGACCCUAUGGACUGUUCUGGACUUCUGACCUCCAGAGCUGUGAGACAGUAGUUUUCUCUGUGGCACUUUGUUGUGGCAGUCCUAGGAAACUAAUUACGUAAUUUAACAUCGCAGGCCCUGUGCUGAGCUGGCAGUCUUCUCUUCUAUCCUGUCUUGAACACUUACAGCCGUCCCCCAACUCCAUCAUGGUGGACAGAUACGGGUUUACUAAGAGACAGUGUCACCUGCCACAAAUGGUGAAAGAGGAGUGGCUCCAUAUUCACCAGGAACAGAGAAUCUGUCUCCAAAAGGCUUGGCUGACUUUGAGCAUACUCCCAGUCAUCGAUGUGAAACGGCUCGCCAGUGUCCCGGCAGCAGCCCCCCAAAACGGAGUGCUCAGUGUGCUUCCGGAAAUACUCUACGCUGAGUGCAUUAAGCGCACUGUAAGACACUCAUUACUCUACGUCAUGAAACACCCAGAUAUGAGGGGAGAAACAAACUUGUGUGUCAGCCAGCUUUAUUCCUUGGGAGAAAAUACAUUAAAAUACAUUCAUAGCAAA